UGAGGAAUAUUGGUCAAUGGACGGAAGUCUGAACCAGCCAAGUAGCGUGCAGGAUGACGGCCCUAUGGGUUGUAAACUGCUUUUAUGUGGGAAUAAAGUCAGGGACGUGUCCCUGUUUGCAUGUACCACAGGAAUAAGGACCGGCUAAUUCCGUGCCAGCAGCCGCGGUAAUACGGAAGGUCCGGGCGUUAUCCGGAUUUAUUGGGUUUAAAGGGAGCGUAGGCCGGAGGGUAAGCGUGUUGUGAAAUGCAGUUGCUCAACAUCUGCACUGCAGCGCGAAACUGGUC
rnacentral:rRNA from 1 species